CCUACGGGGGGCUGCAGUCGAGAAUUUUUCUCAAUGGGCGAAAGCCUGAAGGAGCGACGCCGCGUGGAGGAUGAAGGUCUUCGGAUUGUAAACUCCUGUCAUUCGGGAACAAUGUGCAUGCGUUAACUGCGCGUGCAUUGAUAGUACCGGAAGAGGAAGGGACGGCUAACUCUGUGCCAGCAGCCGCGGUAAUACAGAGGUCCCAAGCGUUGUUCGGAUUCAUUGGGCGUAAAGGGUGCGUAGGCGGCGGGGUAAGUCGGAUGUGAAAUCCCGGAGCUCAACUCCGGAACUGCAUUCGAUACUGCUCUGCUCGAGGACUGGAGAGGAGAUCGGAAUUCACGGUGUAGCAGUGAAAUGCGUAGAUAUCGUGAGGAAGACCAGUGGCGAAGGCGGAUCUCUGGACAGUUCCUGACGCUGAGGCACGAAGGCCAGGGGAGCAA
rnacentral:rRNA from 1 species